GACGAACCGUGCGAACGUUGUUCGGAAUCACUGGGCUUAAAGGGCGCGUAGGCGGGCUGUCAAGUCUGGGGUGAAAUGCUGCGGCUCAACCGUAGAACUGCCUUAGAUACUGACGGCCUCGAGGAAGGUAGGGGCAUGCGGAACUGUAGGUGGAGCGGUGAAAUGCGUAGAUAUCUGGAGGAACACCGGUGGCGAAGGCGACGUCCUGGACCGGCAUUGACGCUGAGGCGCGAAAGCCAGGGGAGCAAACGGG
rnacentral:rRNA from 1 species